UACAGAGGUCCCAAGCGUUGUUCGGAUUCAUUGGGCGUAAAGGGUGCGUAGGCGGCGCGGUAAGUCGGGUGUGAAAUUUCGGAGCUUAACUCCGAAACUGCAUUCGAUACUGCGGUGCUUGAGGACUGGAGAGGAGACUGGGAAUUCAUGGUGUAGCAGUGAAAUGCGUAGAGAUCAUGAGGAAGACCAGUGGCGAAGGCGGGUCUCUGGACAGUUCCUGACACUGAGGCACGAAGGCCAGGGGAGCAAACGGG
rnacentral:rRNA from 1 species